CAAAGUUAACAGCUGAAGGCACUGGAACAAUAUUUUACCUCGAUAUUUCUUUUUUUAUACAUUAAAAUUUUCUUACUUAGUGAUUUUCUGAUCUACUCUCAAGUUUUAAAUUAUAAGUGAAUUCCGAGGUUUCCUGAAAUUGGAUCAGCCUCCUAUUUGUGAAGCCUAAUAUGGAGAAGCUCCGUCGUAGGAACGCCCCAUCAUUACUAGAAUGGAGUAGAAGUCUUCGAUUUACUUUAAGUGAUCCGAAUUUUAGCGUUUGUCCUGUUUCAAUUACGUGGGAUAAUCCUGGAUCAUCUCGGAAUGCCUCUUCGCUUCUAUAUCUUAAGGGUCUUGCCAGAAAGUUGGGUCUAAAAUUCAUGGCACUUCGAGGAGGAGCUGUGUACUUAUCUACAGAAGCUUUUUACUUGGAAAUCAAAGAAAAUGGGGAAGAAAUUCUUCAUAUUCUUAAUCCAGAAUCUAUUGAAAUACUUCCUCGAGGAGGAGAUUUGGUAGCUCACUUGAAAGGAUUAAUGGAACUUAAACCAUCCAACUGGAAAGGCUUAUCUACACUUCAAGAUGAAUUAAAAAGUAUUUUAGGAGAUGAUUUAAUUCCUCGAGUAGGUGGUACUCCUGCUCAAAUUCGCUUAUUUGAUAAUUAUACAGCUCUAUCUAUAUUACCACAAAAUAAUCAUUUUGUAUUAAGAAUACGAGAUCCAUUUCCAUUAGCCGAAGAAAAAUUAACAGAGCUUGGAAAAAUUUGUGGUUUUAAUUUGUUUGAAUUAGUUGGACCAAGAGGAGGAUACCUUAUGGAUUUGAUUGUUCCAGACUCACCACUGUUCAUGAAUCUACCUGAUCAAAAGCAUUGUUACUUUUUGGCACAUCAUUUGCAUGGUACAUUCCUAAGUUGUGUGCCAUUUUCUGAUAGUUCACAAAUUCCAGGAAUACUUUCUUUGUUAAGACAACAAGCUCUAUAUAACUCAUUAAUAUCAUCUUGUGCUAGUAGUGGCAUCAAUCAACAAACAUUAACCAAAUCGACUAUUGUUUUUGAAAUUUCAAGUUUAAAUUUGAAUCAAAUUACAAUAAGUUUUGAAAAUCCUCUUGAUGAAAGUAUUACAGCCCUAGAAAUAGAUUUAAACCGAGUUUUGAGGACUAAAAUACACUCAUUGAGCUUAUGUAAUCAAUUUACGCAGUUUGAACAUAUUGAUAGAGUCCUACAAAAGUUUUUAUCUAUUCCUAUCCUUAUGCGUACUGUAAUUAAAUAUUUCUGCUCAAGAGUACAACUUAAUGAAACCAACAGUGUUGGCCAAAACUGUAAUAACCCUGAUGUAUUUUAUAGCCGUCUCUAUCAUGAUGCUCGUGAAGGAGAUGAUAAAUUUGAUAACUCUUCUUACCAGGUCGAUUCUUUAAACGAGAAAGGGUUCCAGGAUGUGGUGUGUUAUCCUGGGGCCAACAUCAAAGUUUGUGCGUCAAACAAACUUGCAACUAACUCAUCACAAUUAGGGUUUUCUUCUUGUUUGGAAUCUCUUUCUUCAAGGAAAAAUAAUCUCUUUGACGAAAGAAUACUUAAACCAUGUGUGUCGAUAACACCUGUAUCCAAUACUUCAACUAUUUUACAGAUAAUGUUUCAAUCUGCCAUAAUUCCCGUAGAUAUUAGAAUUCGAACAUCUCUUGUUCAGUAUAAAGUAUCUCGAAUCCCUUCUUAUGUCUUAAUUCUUAGAGAACAUGGAAGUAUUUCUGUCUUUAAUGAAUGAAAAUUGAUCAAAGCAUAUGAAAAGCACAUCUAAAUUAAAAAUGUGUCACGUCAUUUAUCCAAUUGUGCGGCCGUACGUCAGUAUUGUGCUUUGUCCGCUUCAGCGGACCAAAAAAACAACAACCUUACUCAACCGUCCACCAAUCAUAUAGGUAUGUAAAUAUAGAGGAAUUAAGUCAUAAUUAAUUAUUAA
rnacentral:misc_RNA from 1 species